rnacentral:lncRNA from 1 species
UAUGCUCAUGUGACCCAGCUGCCUGCUGCCAGGGGCACCUGGCUGAGGGUGGCCGAAAUGCUGGCUAACCCAAAGUGACAUGUCUGGUGGGAAGUUAAGGGUCCUCAGC